UCCUACGGGAGGCAGCAGUGAGGAAUAUUGGUCAAUGGGCGUAAGCCUGAACCAGCCAAGUAGCGUGAGGGAAGACUGCCCUAUGGGUUGUAAACCUCUUUUGUGCGGGGAUAAAGUGUGGGACGUGUCCCAUAUUGCAGGUACCGCACGAAUAAGGACCGGCUAAUUCCGUGCCAGCAGCCGCGGUAAUACGGAAGGUCCGGGCGUUAUCCGGAUUUAUUGGGUUUAAAGGGAGCGCAGGCCGUCCUUUAAGCGUGCUGUGAAAUGCCGCGGCUCAACCGUGGCACUGCAGCGCGAACUGGAGGACUUGAGUACGCACGAGGUAGGCGGAAUUCGUGGUGUAGCGGUGAAAUGCUUAGAUAUCACGAAGAACUCCGAUUGCGAAGGCAGCUUACCGGAGCGCAACUGACGCUGAGGCUCGAAAGCGCGGGUAUCGAACAGGAUUAGAUACCCUGGUAGUCCGCGCGGUAAACGAUGGAUGCCCGCCGUUGGGAUUUGGAUUUCAGCGGCCAAGCGAAAGCGUUAAGCAUCCCACCUGGGGAGUACGCCGGCAACGGUGAAACUCAAAGGAAUUGACGGGGGCCCGCACAAGCGGAGGAACAUGUGGUUUAAUUCGAUGAUACGCGAGGAACCUUACCCGGGCUUGAAUUGCAGGAGAACGAUCCAGAGAUGGUGAGACCCUUCGGGGCUCCUGUGAAGGUGCUGCAUGGUUGUCGUCAGCUCGUGCCGUGAGGUGUCGGCUCAAGUGCCAUAACGAGCGCAACCCCUGUCCAUAGUUGCCAUCAGGUUUAGCUGGGCACUCUGUGGAGACUGCCGCCGUAAGGUGUGAGGAAGGUGGGGAUGACGUCAAAUCAGCACGGCCCUUACGU
rnacentral:rRNA from 1 species